rnacentral:rRNA from 1 species
AGAGUUUGAUCCUGGCUCAGGACGAACGCUGGCGGCGUGCCUAAUACAUGCAAGUCGAGCGAGCAGAACCAGCAGAUUUACUUCGGUAAUGACGCUGGGGACGCGAGCGGCGGAUGGGUGAGUAACACGUGGGGAACCUGCCCCAUAGUCUAGGAUACCACUUGGAAACAGGUGCUAAUACCGGAUAAUAAAGCAGAUCGCAUGAUCAGCUUAUAAAAGGCGGCGUAAGCUGUCGCUAUGGGAUGGCCCCGCGGUGCAUUAGCUAGUUGGUAAGGUAACGGCUUACCAAGGCAAUGAUGCAUAGCCGAGUUGAGAGACUGAACGGCCACAUUGGGACUGAGACACGGCCCAAACUCCUACGGGAGGCAGCAGUAGGGAAUCUUCCACAAUGGACGCAAGUCUGAUGGAGCAACGCCGCGUGAGUGAAGAAGGUUUUCGGAUCGUAAAGCUCUGUUGUAGGUGAAGAAGGAUAGAGGUAGUAACUGGCCUUUAUUUGACGGUAAUCAACCAGAAAGUCACGGCUAACUACGUGCCAGCAGCCGCGGUAAUACGUAGGUGGCAAGCGUUGUCUGGAUUUAUUGGGCGUAAAGCGAGCGCAGGCGGAAGAAUAAGUCUGAUGUGAAAGCCCUCGGCUUAACCGAGGAAUUGCAUCGGAAACUGUUUUUCUUGAGUGCAGAAGAGGAGAGUGGAACUCCAUGUGUAGCGGUGGAAUGCGUAGAUAUAUGGAAGAACACCAGUGGCGAAGGCGGCUCUCUGGUCUGCAACUGACGCUGAGGCUCGAAAGCAUGGGUAGCGAACAGGAUUAGAUACCCUGGUAGUCCAUGCCGUAAACGAUGAGUGCUAAGUGUUGGGAGGUUUCCGCCUCUCAGUGCUGCAGCUAACGCAUUAAGCACUCCGCCUGGGGAGUACGACCGCAAGGUUGAAACUCAAAGGAAUUGACGGGGGCCCGCACAAGCGGUGGAGCAUGUGGUUUAAUUCGAAGCAACGCGAAGAACCUUACCAGGUCUUGACAUCUAGUGCCAUCCCAAGAGAUUAGGAGUUCCCUUCGGGGACGCUAAGACAGGUGGUGCAUGGCUGUCGUCAGCUCGUGUCGUGAGAUGUUGGGUUAAGUCCCGCAACGAGCGCAACCCUUAUUAUUAGUUGCCAGCAUUAAGUUGGGCACUCUAAUGAGACUGCCGGUGACAAACCGGAGGAAGGUGGGGAUGACGUCAAGUCAUCAUGCCCCUUAUGACCUGGGCUACACACGUGCUACAAUGGGCAGUACAACGAGAAGCGAGCCUGCGAAGGCAAGCGAAUCUCUGAAAGCUGUUCUCAGUUCGGACUGCAGUCUGCAACUCGACUGCACGAAGCUGGAAUCGCUAGUAAUCGCGGAUCAGAACGCCGCGGUGAAUACGUUCCCGGGCCUUGUACACACCGCCCGUCACACCAUGGAAGUCUGCAAUGCCCAAAGCCGGUGGCCUAACCUUCGGGAAGGAGCCGUCUAAGGCAGGGCAGAUGACUGGGGUGAAGUCGUAACAAGGUAGCCGUAGGAGAACCUGCGGCUGGAUCACCUCCUU